UUGCAACUAAUUAAGCUGACCAGGUCCCUUUCCCCAGAGGGGCCUGGUUGCAAUGGUUGCAAACAGCAGCCUCCUUGGUAGUGUACGCAGCCUGAUACCUGUACGGGUUGCCCUAAGGGACCUUGGAGACAAUU
ensembl:snoRNA SNORA70 Small nucleolar RNA SNORA70